rnacentral:rRNA from 1 species
UGGUGGAGCGAUUUGUCUAGUUAAUUCCAUUAACGAACAAGACCUCAGUCUGUUGAAUAACUAUGUGGAGGUGAUCCUUCGUGGCCAGCUUCUUAGAGGGACUAUGGCCUUUUAGGCCAAGGAAGUUUGAGGCAAUAACA